rnacentral:rRNA from 1 species
UACAGAGGUGGCAAGCGUUGUUCGGAAUUACUGGGCGUAAAGGGCGCGUAGGCGGCUUGGUCAGUCCCGUGUGAAAUCCCUCGGCUCAACUGAGGAACUGCACGGGAAACUGCUGGCUUGAGUUCGGGAGAGGGAAGCGGAAUUCCGGGUGUAGCGGUGAAAUGCGUAGAUAUCCGGAGGAACACCGGUGGCGAAGGCGGCUUCCUGGACCGACACUGACGCUGAGGCGCGAAAGCUAGGGGAGCAAACGGG